CAGCAGCCGCGGGAAUAUGUAGGUGGCAAGCGUUGUCCGGAAUUAUUGGGCGUAAAGGGCUCGCAGGCGGUUUCUUAAGUCUGAUGUUGAAAUCCCCCGGCUUAACCGGGGAAGUGGCACGGAUACGGCGAGUCUGGAGGGAGGUAGGGGGGUCUGGAACUUCCGGUGGAGCGGUGAAAUGCGUUGAGAUCGGAAGGAACGCCCGUGGCGAAAGCGAGGCCCUGGACCUUUUCUGACGCUGAGACGCGAAAGCCAGGGGAGCGAACGGGAUUAGAUACCCGAGUAGUCCCUGUCUCUUAUA
rnacentral:rRNA from 1 species